AUGCACAGUUCGGGACCCCCUACCCGAGAUCCGCUGGUUUUGACACUGACAAUCCUCGUGUGGAACUGUCGUGGUGCUGGCAAACCAGCGACAGUUCGAGAGCUUUGCAAUUUAGCGAAGCAGUUUGUCCCCUCUAUUGUAUGCAUUGUUGAAACUCAGUUAGAGGGUAGUCGUGUGAAAAUUUUAGCUGAUACUCUUGGUUACAAUAAAGCUUUUGCGGUUAGUAGCUCUGGUAGGAGUGGUGGUUUAGGUGUGUUC
rnacentral:rRNA from 1 species